UAAAAUGUUUUGACUCUUCGUCUUACUUGAAUUUUUUUUUGCGGUUAAUAUUUUUAUUAUUACUAGAUGAUAAAAUAUGAAUAGUAUUUUAUGCGCGACUAGUUUUUUAAGUUUUUUUAUAAAUUUUUUAAAUAAGACAAAUGGUCAAAAGUUAGACGCGGAAAAAC
rnacentral:pre_miRNA from 1 species